GAGGAAUGAGGGAGGCGUGCUUAACACAUGCAAGUCGAACGGAAAGGCCCCUUUGGGGGUACUCGAGUGGCGAACGGGUGAGUAACACGUGAGUAACCUGCCCUUGACUUCGGGAUAACUUCAGGAAACUGGGGCUAAUACCGGAUAGGAAUCCUUGCUGCAUGGUGGGGGUUGGAAAGCUUCGGCGGUUUUGGAUGGACUCGCGGCUUAUCAGCUUGUUGGUGGGGUAGUGGCUUACCAAGGCUUUGACGGGUAGCCGGCCUGAGAGGGCGACCGGCCACAUUGGGACUGAGAUACGGCCCAGACUCCUACGGGAGGCAGCAGUGGGGAAUAUUGCACAAUGGGCGGAAGCCUGAUGCAGCAACGCCGCGUGCGGGAUGACGGCCUUCGGGUUGUAAACCGCUUUCAGCAGGGGCGAAGCUUGUGGUGACGGUACCUGCAGAAGAAGCACCGGCUAACUACGUG
rnacentral:rRNA from 1 species